GACGAACGCUGGCGGCGUGCCUAGUACAUGCAAGUCGAACGCUUUGAUUUUCACCGGAGCUUGCUCCACCGAAAAUCAAAGAGUGGCGGACGGGUGAGUAACACGUGGGCAACCUGCCCAACAGAGGGGGAUAACACUUGGAAACAGGUGCUAAUACCGCAUAAUUCAUUUUUCCGCAUGGAAGAAUAAUAAAAGACGCUUCGGUGUCACUGUUGGAUGGGCCCGCGCUGCAUUAGUUAGUUGGUGGGGUAACGGCCUACCAAGACCAUGAUGCAUAGCCGACCUGAGAGGGUGAUCGGCCACACUGGGACUGAGACACGGCCCAGACUCCUACGGGAGGCAGCAGUAGGGAAUCUUCGGCAAUGGACGAAAGUCUGACCGAGCAACGCCGCGUGAGUGAAGAAGGUUUUCGGAUCGUAAAACUCUGUUGUUAGAGAAGAACAAGUGAGAGAGUUACUGUUCUCACCUUGACGGUAUCUAACCAGAAAGCCACGGCUAACUACGUGCCAGCAGCCGCGGUAAUACGUAGGUGGCAAGCGUUGUCCGGAUUUAUUGGGCGUAAAGCGAGCGCAGGCGGUUUCUUAAGUCUGAUGUGAAAGCCCUCGGCUCAACCGAGGAAGGUCAUUGGAAACUGGGGAACUUGAGUGCAGAAGAGGAGAGUGGAAUUCCAUGUGUAGCGGUGAAAUGCGUAGAUAUAUGGAGGAACACCAGUGGCGAAGGCGACUCUCUGGUCUGUAACUGACGCUGAGGCUCGAAAGCGUGGGGAGCAAACAGG
rnacentral:rRNA from 1 species